UUUUCAGGGCUUAGAAAAGUUAUGAAACGGAAACGCGUAUCUGAUUACGAGACAGGCAGCAGGCGACUUUAAAAUCCACAUAGGGUCGCGGGGGAUAGAACCGCUCGCAUUAUUCUUGUUUGAAAUUUAUCACUCUAAUCGGCACGGAGGAUUAUAUGCGAAUUUCGGUUGUUUAAUUGAACAAAUUUUCGAAAACUACCUGCCGUAGACAAUUUCUGAGCACCAUC